rnacentral:rRNA from 1 species
AAAACGACUCUUGGCAACGGAUAUCUAGGCUCUCGCAUCGAUGAAGAACGUAGCAAAAUGCGAUACUUGGUGUGAAUUGCAGAAUCCCGUGAACCAUCGAGUUUUUGAAUGCAAGUUGCGCCCGAAGCCAUUAGGCUGAGGGCACGUCUGCCUGGGCGUCUU